AAUGAUAAGCUUUUACCCCAAAGAGUGGAACCUGACGUAUGUCUGUAUUUUUUUCCCCUCCUUCAUGUCAGUGAAGAAUUUGGAAACUGGCAGAAGCACUCCAGGAUUAAGGAUAAUUUUUGGUAAUGGAAUAAUCAAUCGUGAGGCUUUGCUUACUGCAUUUUGGGGCAGUGGGGUCAUGCCCACCAAUAGUUCAGCAUUUUAAAUCCUUUUUAGGUCAUAUCUGAAUUAUUCAAUUUCAUUUUUUCUCCUAAAAUCAGUAGGAAUUAAAAUGGUGUAUAAAUCAGACAGCUUUUUUUUCUCCCAUUAUCUAUAAGUGAAAUAAUGAUAAUAGCAACUCGCAUUGGGAAAGUCUUGGGACUGUAUUGCAUUAAAGCUUACUGGUUAAAUAACAAUGGUUAAUGUCCAAUGAGACUGCUAAUGAAAGUAACUCCUCCAAAGGUAUUCAGUUGAGAUAAGAGUGCCCUGUUUACAACGUGAAGGCAAGUUCAUUGUAUAUGUUGUUCUACAUGUGCAAGACUUUCCCUUAGGGACUGUGCUGGGAAGUUAAAAUGCUGAAAGUUCAUAUUAACUUGGUCUUACUAUUAUUCACACAGGCAAAAGCAUCUCUAUCAAAUGAUCUGUUUAUCUGAUCUGAGCCCCCUUCACAAUGGCAUAAAUAUUAGUGUUAGGGAGUAUUUAAGAAAAACAUUUCUAAUGUAUAAAGGUCCUGUGCAUUUCUAUUGGCAUCUGCUUUCCUUCAGGGAUAGGAGCAAAGUGCUGAAGGGCAACUAGCUAGAAGGUAUCUACUGGACUUAUCAAGUGAUUAACUUACUUCAUUCUGCCUUUUUUUUUUUUUGGUACUUGCUUUAUUCUGUAUGGAAUAGUCUGUAAAUUAAUUAGUUGUAGUUCAAUGCUGACUUUGUUUGUGAUGGGAUGCUUAAGUCAUUGGACUUAACUAGUCUUCAACAAGUGUCCAAACAUUGUUUUUCAGCACUAGAAUGUAAAUUGUUUCUGUCAUUGAAUUAACCAGAUUCAGGGAAGGGAACAGCAAUGCUUUUUGAGUAUAUUGAAAUGUUUCCUUCCUUUCACAGGAGGAGAAGGGAUGGGAGGUACUUGCUGGGGGAACUACAACUCACAUUGACUAUAAUUCUGAUUUUCAAACUCAGUUGUGCCAAGUUUGUUUUCCUCAGCUCUGAAAAGGUGAACAAGGUGGUGGGUAUAAGGCUUCUUCCAAGGUAAAAGGUUCCUCUGAGGUAUUGUUUACAAUUCUUCUCUCUCACAUUUUUUGUCCCUUUUUAAUUUUUGUUUGUUUUGGUUGGUUUGUUGGUUUUUUUGUUUCUUGUUUUCCAGUACUGUUCCUAGGUAGAAGAAUUUCCUUGGUUUGUUUCCUUGUCAGCUUGUGGUUUCAGGGAGAAUUUCCUAUGAGCAUUUCACCUGUGGUGAAACAGUUCCAGAACAAUUGCACAGGGAAGUUAGAGGUAUAUAGAUGCUCUCAAAACAUUUGUAAGUGUGCCUUCAGAAAACUAGUAAAAAUAUAUUUCAAAUUCCCUCCUGCAGACCAUGUUCCAAGAUGGUUUUACUUUAAGUCUUCUCACAAGACCACAUUUGAAUGUUUCAUUCAGAUAUUUUAUUUCUUUUUAUGGUCCUGUGAUGUUACCAUUUUUUACGAUUUUAGUAACUUCUAUUUGACUACAGUAAAGUUUCAGUGAUGCAACUGUUUUUUUUUCAUAUUGGUGAGCUUGUAUAAUUGUCCUCCAAUUACACUAUCUAACUAAUGGAUCAAAUAUUAUUGAUUCAGGGUAAAGACUUACAGACAGAUAUUUGAUUUGCGUUGUUCUUGGGCUCUGGUCAGGUACUUCAUUCUUUGUACCUUGAACUGCAGUUUACCUUAAGACUGUUGCUGAUCUUUGCAAUGAACAUCUGUUCAGGUUCUGCUUUCACCCUAUAUUUUCAAAAUAAAUGUGAAAUUUUAUAUGAGAUAAGGGCUUUUUUGUGGAAAAUAAGCUUAUUGUUGGCUAGCUUCAGGGUCUUCUGUAAGAACCAUGCACACUGAAUUAAGGAGUUGCUUCAUAUGCAGCAGUUCAUUUUCUGAAGAGAGGCAGAGGGCAUUGCAUGAAAUAUUUCUCUUUCACAUUGCACCAACAUGGAUAUUUUAAUAAUGUUUUGAAUUCUGUAUUAGGUUUGGUUGUCUUGCUUGCUCAGGUGCACUUUAAGCUGUUGAAGUGAACAGACAAGCAGACAGAACCAAGCAGACUGUGGCCCAUGGAGUUCUCCCUGUGUUUCCUUAGAGAGCCAUCUCAGGGCUUCAGAUAGCUCAAAAUAUUCCCUCUGAGACCAAAUAUCAGUCAGUGUUAAGUCUUCACUCUAUGAAAAAGGUAGAGCUGAAAAUUCCCACCAGCACUCCCAAAGGUACUGGCUAGAAUAUGCAUCAGAAACAGUGGAAAUUAUUAACCAGAACUACCCACGCUAGGAUCCAAGGUACACAGAAUUGCACUCAUUGUUCUGUUGUCUUGGUAUGAGCUGCUGUGCCUGCUUUCCUCGCACUGAUAGUUCUCUGUGCUCAGAGAUUCAAUUACUCUGAUUCCUUGGCCUGAAUCCUACUUCUAAUGGAAGUAAGCGACUGACAGACUCUGAUUUUGGAUACCCUGUAGUGUACCUGAAUUAAGCUGUCUUGUCUUCUACUCUGUACAGCUGGAAGAAUAAAUGGGAGGUACUUCUGAACAAAUUCUUACAGAUUUUUGUUUUUUGUAAAGUGCUUCCUAGAGGCAGCUUCUCAGUGUUAUUAAAAUGGGAACAGGCUGGGUACACAAGUGAGACUCCGCAUAAAAAUGCAGCAGUGGAAUUAAGAACUCUGGUUUACAUGGAGUCCUGCCUGUAUAAUUUGAAAAAUGUUAUCCCUGGCUUUAUCCAGUGGCUGAAACAGUUUAUUCCUUACAAAAAGUAAAGUAAUAUAAUUUGCACACCAUUUAGAGUGUAGCAGUGUUCUGAUGUUCACUGUCUUCCCCACUGAUGUUCUUAUAAUUCUUUAAAAAAAUCACCUGUUUGAAAUAAAUGGGCAGGAGAUCUUUCUCCUUUUUUAAUGCCUUUAUUAAGAAGAAUCAGCUCAGGUGGGGAGAAAUCGACGGGUUGCACCCACGCCGCCGUUGCUCCCAGGCGUGGCACGAAGAAGGAGGAUGAUGCAGCUUUGUCCACUGGUCUGCAGACAGAGCUGGGGAGAGUCCUGCUUGUUUGUUUAACACCCCGGGAUGUCUCUUUAAUCAGUAUCUUUUGAGGUUAGGGUGAGAAACAAAAAGGUCCAAGCAGGUACGGAACUAUGCUCCCAUCCUUAGACGUCACUUAAGUCACUUGUUGGCUCGUGAUUUUAGGGGUUUUUCUUGUAAAAACUGUAAAACUGUAAAAACCCAGGGUGCAAUGCAUUUCUCAUUUGCAUGCUGGCUCUGAUGUCACUCCUAUUUUCUUUACCUUGGAGGGUCUUGUCCUGGUGUCUUCUUGGCAAGCGGCCAGCAUCAGCGAAACAAUAGUUAAUCACCGGCCAUUAACGGGUAAUUUAGGACUUUUUCUUCGGCAGCACACCCAAAGAAGUCUGACCGAUCUGACUUGGUUUUUUAACUCUGAAACUUAAAAAAAUUACAGCUUUCUGUUAAUAACACUGUUGAAGUAACUUUUAAUAAAGUUUGUGGAAGUUUGAUACUGCUAUUUUACAUUUGUCUUCUUGGGGGCAGGGUUUGUGUACCUCUUGGGCUCUAGGAGCCUAAAGAGCUGCAUAGUGAGCAGACAACUGGCUGUUGUCAGUGCUUACAUCCCUAACCUUGCUUUCUGGGCAUCCUCACACUCUGAAACUUCUGCCUUUGUAAAAUAUGGGUUGCAUAUCUGUGUACUACCAAAAUCAAUAGUGCACUUCUUCUUAAAGGUGUGUGCUGAAAAAAAUACAGAAAAUUUGACAGCGUGAGAGACUUUCCAUAAGACAGAAGUCCACGAGUCUAUGAGUUAAGGUUUAACCACAGAAUGUACAAGUGAAGAACUCACUGCUGCUAUCUGAUUCCACAGAUCAAUGCAAAAAGGUAAAAAGGAUGAAAGCAGGAAUAGAAACAAGCAAACACCAUACUAUGCUGUUGCCUGCUUUCCUUCUAGCUCUAUGUGUUGUCAAAGAUGAGUCAUAAUGGCAAAAUCAGUUUAUAGGCAAAAGGUUUGACUACUUACCUAUUCAUUCACCAUGUUUUCCAUAUCUUGCAUCAUUAUUUUAGAUUUUGGAUAAAACUGUAAGUAUCCUGGGAAAGUGUCACUGUAUGUUUACUCUCUUCUGAUAGUAAGAGUACUGGGCUAGAAGGAGCCAUAGACAAAUACUCUGAAACUCCUUUGUAAAAUGUGGAUUGCAUAUCUGUGUACUACCAAAAUCAAUAGUGCACUUCUUCUUAUAGAAGUCAUUCUUAAAACCUACUCUACCCUUUAAUAUAACAGCUUUAAGGAGUCAGAUUGCUAGCUCUGCAAGUGCAUGCAGUCAGAAGAGUAAUUUCCUCAUAGCAUACUUUACAUCUAAUAUGCAAGCCCACUGUCAAACCUCCACAAUCUUUGCCUUGGAUUAAUGGGCAUUGGUCACAGCAUAUUGAUCCCUUCCAUCACAGGUUGCUGAUGCUCUGCAACUGUUCUGCAGUUUUCAGUGCCAAUUUGUGGCUUCCUUCUGCACCAUGUCCGCACAUGAAAGGUGAAGAUACCUUCCAGUGGGAUGCCAUCAUGAAGUGCAGACUUCAGUGAGUGAUUCAAUGAGGCACCUUCUGAAGACUCAGUUGUGAGCUGUCCUUUGCCCAUCUUGAGAUGUUUCUGUGAGGCUCUUUUUUAAGAGCGAGGCAGUAAGCAGUGAUUAAAUUGCUGUAGUUACGGACAUUUUGUAACACUGCCUUGAGAGACAAGUGCAAGCAUUAGUUGGCAUCAGUGCUUAUGCUGGUAUUUCCUAAUAGCUCAUUUGAAAUUCAGGUUUUGAAGAACCACAAAGAUUGUACAAUACAGCUAUAUAUAACUUGGGUGGGAAAAUGUUCUGGAUAUGUUAAUAUUUUUGACUAAUUCUGAAACCUAGUUUCAACAGAGCAUAUUGCUUAAAAUUAAUCCGGAGUCAAACUGGGGAAAAAGGGAAGUUUUAUGGACAGCACUAUUAGAAUGAAAUAAUUCUUGUGCAGUUCAGCAGACAAAUUAUCAUUCUCUAUUUUCCUUGGUUUGUUCAUCUUUCAGAUGGGAACAAGCAAGGGAAAACUUGAUGGGUUAAGAACUUCUAAGAUUUGGGAAAUAUAAGAUAAUUUCAUAUGGAAGGGACCUACAGUGAGCAUGUAAUCCAACUGCCUGACCAGUUCAUGACUGGCCAAGUUAAAGCCUGGUAUUAAGGACAUUGUCCAAAUGCCUCUUAAAAACUGUUAGGCUUGGAGCAUCAACCGUCUCUCUAGGAAGUUUCUUCCAGUGUUUUACCACCCUCUCAGCCAAGAAAUUCUUCCUAAUAUCCAGACUAAACCUUCCCUGGUGCAACUUGGACAAUUCCCACAUGUCCUGUCACUGGUUACCAGGAGAUGAGCUCAGCACCUUAAUCUCCACUGAGCAGCUGGUGAUGCUGUGUUUGAUGCAUCCCAAGAUGCCAGGGCACACUGCUGACUCCCACUGAGCCUGCUGGCAAUCAUAUCCAUGCCUACAUGGCUGUUUCCCAGCCACUCUCCCAAUAUAUACUUGUGUCCAAUGUUAUUCCAUCCCACAUGCAGAAUCUGGCAUUUCAAAUUGAAAAAUUUCAUCCCAUAAAUUGUAGCCCAAUGCUCCUAUUUAUGUAGAUCCCUCUCCAAGGCCUCUUGUCCCUCAAGAGUCAGCAACACCUCCCAGUUUGGUACCAUUGGCAAAUUCCUAAUGGUGCAUUCAACUCCUGUAUCCAGAUUGUUGAUAAAUAUACUGAACAAAACAGGCUCUGGAAUUGAACCACAAGAAAUACCAAUAGUAUCCUUCAACUGGUCCCAGUUGCCAGCUAGAUAGAUGUAGCUCCAUUCACUAGAGUCCUUUGAGCUCUGUCCUUCAGCCAGUUUUUCACCCAGAACACCAUGAACCUGCUUAUCCCACAGUUGGGCAACUUGUCCAGAAGGAUGCUCUGAGGGGCAGUAUAAAAGCCUUACUAAAAUCCAGAAAGAAUGUGACCAGCAGGACCAGGGCAUUGAUUGUCCCCCUGUACUCAGCACUGGUGAGGUCAUGCUUCAAACCCUGCAUUCAGUUUUGGGCCCCUCACUACAAGAACAUUGAGGUGCUGCAGCAUGUCCAGAGAAAGGCAACAGAGCUGGUGAAGAGUCUGGAGCACAAGCCCUAUGAGGAGCAGCUGGGGAGCUGCUCAGAGGGAGCUGGGGUUGUUCAGUGUGAAGGAAAGGAAGCUCAGAGGGCACUUCAUUGCUCUCUACAAGUACCUGAAGUGAGGUUGUAGUGAGGUGGGGAUUGGCCUCUUUCCUCUGGUAACAAGCAACAGGACAAGAGGAAAUGGACUGAGGUUGUGCCAGGGGAGGUUUAGAUUGGAUAUGAGGAAAAGCUGCUUCACUGAAAAGGUGGUCAGGCACUGGAACAGGCUGUCCAGGAAAGUGGUGUAGUCACCAUCCCUAAAGAUGUGUGGAUGUGGCAUUUAGGGACGUGGUUUAGUGGUGGACUUGUCAGUGAUGGCUGAACAGUUUGACUUGAUGAUCUUUGAGAUUUUUUUCCAAGCUAAAUGAUUCAAUGAUUCUAUUAUCUUUCUAGGAUUUUUAAUCACAUGGCCUUGCUUUUUUUGUGCUGGGGAGGGGUUGAGGUAGGGUGAGAAGACUUCCAAAGAAGCUAUUAAAUAAGGAUAUUAAAUACUUAAUGAGACCUCACCAUAUAGGCAAGAUUUUUUACCAAAUAAGAACAGUCCCUUUCCUACAAGAGCAUUUUUUAUCCCUUCCUUCUGGUCUUUUAACUUCCUCAGUAAAUACGAGUGGGUUUGUGCUGCCUGUUCAUAGACUUAAAAUCUUUUUCAAAAGCCUGGAUUAAAUGUUAUUUGAUAUUGCUAUAAAAGCUACUCAGUGAAACCUCUUAUUCGAACACAGCUUUAUUUUUAUGUACAUUUUAGAAUUCCAAUAGUGUCUCUCAAAAUUGGUUUUGAGAAUUCUGUACAGCAAACCUAAGCCAAAUGACAAGAUGCCUUCCUUAGUACCAGACCAGAUCAUCCUAUUGCCCUGAAUACUAAAAGUGGAAAAUGACCAUGUAGUGUGUAUGCAAUAAGUGUACCAGUGUAAACCACUCCAUAGUGCAGUUCUGCCCAGAGUAUCAUGGCCAUGUGUUUAAUUGGGGAUUAUUUUCAUGUUCUUCAGUUGUGAUUGCUGGUGAUGUUACUAUCCCUAGCUGCUUCUCUCCCUUCAUGGGAGGCAGGUUUUUUGCCUUUAUGUCUUUUAUUUCAGCUCAUCCAACGUAGUUUCAGAGAUAGAUGAGAGAGAAUCUAUCAUUAAAUGCUGGAAUAGAUGUGUGUUGUUUUUUGGUUCAUGUUUUUGUUGGUUGGGUUUUUUGCUUGUUUGUUUUUGUUUUUUUGGUUUUUUUUAAGGAAGCAAUCCCGCCUUCCAAAUUUCUGCUUCUCUAACCAGCACAGAUGACCUUAGACACUGAAAGCAUUCAGUUGCACUGAAAAAAAAAGAUCAACAUCAGGAAAUAUGUUGUAAACUGCAGAAGUCUAUGAUGAAAAGCUUUCUUAAAUUUUUUUCAACUGAAAUAACUGUCUUGGGAUGGAGUACAUUUUCUUCUUAGUAACUGGUACAGUGCUGUGGUUUUUGGAUUCAGUAUGAGAAUAGUGCUGACAACACACUGAUGAUUUGGUUGUUACUCAAUAGUGCUUACCCUAAGCUGAGGGCUUCUUGAUUUUCCAUGCUCUGCCAUGAAGAGCUGCACAAGAAGGUGGGAGUAUGGCCAGGAGAGGUGAUCCAAACUGCCCAAAGGGAUACUCCAUACCACAGAAUGCCAUGCCCAGUAUUUAAACCAGAGGAGUUACCUGCAAGGGAGCUGAUGCUGCUCAAUGAUGGCACAUGGUGCAUUACUUUUUCUCUUGGAUUUUAUUUCUCUCUUCCCCCACUUACCAUUAUAUUAUUAGCUUUUCUGUUUUUUUCAAUUAUUAAACUAUUUUUAUCUCAACC